AAUGAACGCUGGCGGCAGGCCUAACACAUGCAAGUCGAACGGGUCCUUCGGGACUAGUGGCGGACGGGUGAGUAACGCGUGGGAACGUGCCCCUUGGUACGGAAUAGCCCCGGGAAACUGGGAGUAAUACCGUAUGUGGUCGAGAGACGAAAGAUUUAUCGCCAAGGGAUCGGCCCGCGUUGGAUUAGGUAGUUGGUGGGGUAAUGGCCUACCAAGCCGACGAUCCAUAGCUGGUUUGAGAGGAUGAUCAGCCACACUGGGACUGAGACACGGCCCAGACUCCUACGGGAGGCAGCAGUGGGGAAUCUUAGACAAUGGGGGAAACCCUGAUCUAGCCAUGCCGCGUGAUCGAUGAAGGCCUUAGGGUUGUAAAGAUCUUUCAGGUGAGAAGAUAAUGACUGUACCACCAGAAGAAGCCCCGGCUAACUCCGUGCCAGCAGCCGCAGUAA
rnacentral:rRNA from 1 species